rnacentral:lncRNA from 12 species
AUGAGACCUCAUAAACACAGCGAUACUGAAAAUAAAAUACCUCUGUUCCGAGCAUGGCAGACCCAUGGAGAUUUGCUUUCCUAUGCCUGCCCAUGUGAACUGGCACAACUGUGCCAAGAGCCUGUGGACAGGGGCCAGGCAGGGAACUUGCCUUUGACUCCCAAAUCACUUAUGCAAAGUCACACCUGGGAACAGGAGCACAGUGUUUUGGCCUCUGCAACAUCCUCUGGACAGCAGGGACCGAGGAGCCUUGGUGGAUGACAGGUUGAUGAUGAGCCAGCAGUGCGUCCCUGCAGUCAGAAGGAAUGGAACUCCCAAUGGAAUCCCGGAUUGCCUUGGGAAGAGCGUGGCCAACAGGUCAGUGAGGGGAUCCUGCCCCUCUGCCUGGCCCUGCUGGGGCCACUUCUGGAGUGUUGUGUUCUGCUCUGGACUCCACAGGUCCAGAAGGACCAGGAGCUCCCAGAGAGAGUCCGGUGAAAGCCACAAAGGUGAUGAGAGGUCUGGAGCAUCUCCUUGAUGAGGAGAAAUAGCAGGAGCUGGGCAUGGCCAGUCUGGAGAAGAGGGGACUGAGAGCGGAUCCCAACAAUCAUGGGAAUAUCCAAAUAACCACACAAAUAUCUCAUUUGAGAGGGUCUCUCAUCA